CAACUGGAGCGUGUCUACCAAAGGAUCGAUGUACUGCAGUUGUCAACAUUGCUAGGAAACAUGAUCUUUUGGUUGUUUGUGAUGAUGUCUACAAUUUAUUGUAUUUCUCAGACGGACGCUUUCCUCGUCUAUUUUCAUAUGACAGAAAGUAUUUCUUAUGAUAUCUAGUAUUGUGUGAUGCUGGUGCUAUGGAUUGUAGGGAUGACAUACAUUACAAGGGAAAUAUCGUGUCUAAUGGCUCUUUCUCGAAAAUCUUUGGCCCUGGACCUCGUGUUGGCUGGAUUGAAGGCCCUCCUCGUGUGAUCAGUCACCUUAAGACAUGUGGAAUAUCUGGUGUUUUGGCAAGCCACUGUAUGUCUGGUGUUAUGGAACAAGCUAUAAAACUUGGUUUGCAGGAUCAAUGUCUGACUGAAGCGCGAGCAUUUUACAAGAAAAAUGCCUCUGCAAUGACUCAAUUGCUCAAAGAACUUCUUCCACCUUCUGUGCAUUUUACAAAGCCUCAGGGACUUAAUUGAAAUAGACAAAGGAGGGUAUUUUGUGUGGAUUACGUUGCCUGAAUAUGUUACUGCUGAAGAGCUUCUUGAAGUUUGCAAAAAUGAAUAUGGAGUUACAUUCAAACCUGGUCGUAGGUUUAGUUGUCGUGGAGCGUUUGGAAACUGCCUACGAAUCUCUUUCAGCAACAUGCCAGAAGAUGAGCUCGUAAACCAUACAAGAAGACUCGCUACUGCAAUUAAUGCAAUUUUGAAGCCAUCUCAUCUUGUUGACGUUUUGUGCAGUUGAAGAAAGAUGAAAUUCAAAUGAACUUCAUCAAAUUAUGGACUAGCAAGGAAUUUUGUGAUAUUGUGAGAGCUGGAGUAGUUGAAUUUUAUGUAUCUGAUGAUAUUUGGGUUUUCGGCACUAAUAAUAAGUUUAAUUAAUUAAUCUUGGGUUAUAAUAUAGUUGAAUCAGCACACUGUA